rnacentral:rRNA from 1 species
GCGAAGUCGAGGGGCGAUCAUGAAGUUGCUUGCAAACUUGAUGGCGACCGGCGGCACGGGUGAGUAACGCGUAUCCAACCUGGCCCGCAGUAGGGAACAGCCCGGCGAAAGUCGGAUUAAUGCCCUAUGUCUUCCUUUGCAGGCAUCCAAUGAGGAAGAAAGAUUUAUCGCUGCGGGAUGGGGAUGCGUCUGAUUAGCUUGUCGGCGGGGUAACGGCCCACCGAGGCUACGAUCAGUAGGGGUUCUGAGAGGAAGGUCCCCCACACUGGUACUGAGACACGGACCAGACUCCUACGGGAGGCAGCAGUGAGGAAUAUUGGUCAAUGGGCGAGAGCCUGAACCAGCCAAGUAGCGUGCAGGAACCGACUGCCCUAUGGGUUGUAAACUGCUUUUAUGCGGGGAUAAACUUCAGCACGUGUGCUGUUUUGCAGGUACCGCAUGAAUAAGGACCGGCUAAUUCCGUGCCAGCCGCCGC